rnacentral:tRNA from 1 species
GGCCGGUUGGCCCAAUGGCAAGGCGUCUGACUACGAUUGAACAUGUUAUCAGGAGAUUCUGGGUUCGACCCCCAGGCUGGUCA